GGUGGGAUAAGGGAGCAAAUCGAACUCAUAACCCGAAGGUCACAGGUUCGAGUCCUGUUCCCGCUACUA
rnacentral:tRNA from 1 species